rnacentral:rRNA from 1 species
UCAGGAUGAACGCUAGCGGCAGGCCUAACACAUGCAAGUCGAGGGGUAACAGGAGUAGCAAUACUCGCUGACGACCGGCGCACGGGUGAGUAACGCGUAUGCAACCUACCUUUAACUGGGGCAUAGCUCCGAGAAAUCGGGAUUAAUACCCCAUAAUGUUACAAUUUCGCAUGUUAUUGUAACUAAAACUCCGGUGGUUAAAGAUGGGCAUGCGUGUCAUUAGCUUGUUGGUGAGGUAACGGCUCACCAAGGCUACGAUGACUAGGGGGUCUGAGAGGAUGAUCCCCCACACUGGUACUGAGACACGGACCAGACUCCUACGGGAGGCAGCAGUGAGGAAUAUUGGUCAAUGGGCGAAAGCCUGAACCAGCCAUGCCGCGUGCAGGAUGACAGCCCUAUGGGUCGUAAACUGCUUUUAUACGGGAAGAAACCCCUGAUCGUGAUCGGGGCUGACGGUACCGUAAGAAUAAGGAUCGGCUAACUCCGUGCCAGCAGCCGCGGUAAUACGGAGGAUCCUAGCGUUAUCCGGAUUUAUUGGGUUUAAAGGGUGCGUAGGCGGAAUAAUAAGUCAGUGGUGAAAUCCUGCAGCUUAACUGUAGAAUUGCCAUUGAUACUGUUAUUCUUGAAUGCAGUUGAGGUAGGCGGAAUGUGUAAUGUAGCGGUGAAAUGCUUAGAUAUUACCCAGAACACCGAUUGCGUAGGCAGCUUGCUAAACUGUGAUUGACGCUGAGGCACGAAAGCGUGGGUAGCAAACAGGAUUAGAUACCCUGGUAGUCCACGCCGUAAACGAUGAUUACUCGAUGUGUGCCAUAUAUCGUACGCGUCUGAGCGAAAGCAUUAUGUAAUCCACCUG